GUUUUUCAAUGCAUGGUUUACUCAUUAAAAAAUGAUGCAUUUGUUUUGAUUAUUACACUUCUGAUGUUGUUUAUCUUUGCUUGUAUUGGAGUGCAGCUUUUUCAGGGAAAACUUUACCAUUGUACUGACUCAAGUAAAAGUAAUGAAGUAGAUUGCAAAGGCAGUUAUUAUGAGUUUUCAAAUUCUGAAACUGACAACAUAAUAAAAACUAUAAAAAAGGUAAAU